rnacentral:rRNA from 1 species
UACGUAGGAUGCAAGCGUUAUCCGGAAUGAUUGGGCGUAAAGCGUCUGUAGGUGGCUUUUCAAGUCCGCCGUCAAAUCCCAGGGCUCAACCCGUGGACAGGCGGUGGAAACUACCAAGCUGGAGUACGGUAGGGGCAGAGGGAAUUUCCGGUGGAGCGGUGAAAUGCAUUGAGAUCGGAAAGAACACCACGGCGAAAGCACUCUGCUGGCCGACACUGACACUGAGAGACGAAAGCUAGGGGAGGCAAAUGGG